rnacentral:rRNA from 1 species
CAGUAGCCGCGGUAAUACAGAGGAUGCAAGCGUUAUCCGGAAUGAUUGGGCGUAAAGCGUCUGUAGGUGGCUUUUCAAGUCCGCCGUCAAAUCCCAGGGCUCAACCCUGGACAGGCGGUGGAAACUACCGAGCUGGAGUACGGUAGGGGCAGAGGGAAUUUCCAGUGGAGCGGUGAAAUGCGUUGAGAUCGAAAAGAACACCAACAGCGAAAGCACUCUGCUGGGACGACACUGACACUAAGAGACGAAAGCUAGGGGAGCAAAUGGGAUUAGAGACCCCGGUAGUCCCUGUCUCUUAUAC